CGGAACGAGUUGUCUGAACCUUCGGGGGACGAUAACGGCGUCGAGCGGCGGACGGGUGAGUAAUGCCUGGGAAAUUGCCCUGAUGUGGGGGAUAACCAUUGGAAACGAUGGCUAAUACCGCAUAAUAGCUUCGGCUCAAAGAGGGGGACCUUCGGGCCUCUCGCGUCAGGAUAUGCCCAGGUGGGAUUAGCUAGUUGGUGAGGUAAGGGCUCACCAAGGCGACGAUCCCUAGCUGGUCUGAGAGGAUGAUCAGCCACACUGGAACUGAGACACGGUCCAGACUCCUACGGGAGGCAGCAGUGGGGAAUAUUGCACAAUGGGCGCAAGCCUGAUGCAGCCAUGCCGCGUGUAUGAAGAAGGCCUUCGGGUUGUAAAGUACUUUCAGCAGUGAGGAAGAUGGUGUACUUAAUACGUGCAUCAUUUGACGUUAGCUGCAGAAGAAGCACCGGCUAACUCCGUGCCAGCAGCCGCGGUAAUACGGAGGGUGCGAGCGUUAAUCGGAAUUACUGGGCGUAAAGCGCAUGCAGGUGGUUUGUUAAGUCAGAUGUGAAAGCCCGGGGCUCAACCUCGGAAUUGCAUUUGAAACUGGCAGACUAGAGUACUGUAGAGGGGGGUAGAAUUUCACGUGUAGCG
rnacentral:rRNA from 1 species